rnacentral:rRNA from 1 species
AACACAUGCAAGUCGAGCGGAUGAAGGGAGCUUGCUCCUGGAUUCAGCGGCGGACGGGUGAGUAAUGCCUAGGAAUCUGCCUGGUAGUGGGGGAUAACGUUCCGAAAGGAACGCUAAUACCGCGUACGUCCUACGGGAGAAAGCAGGGGACCUUCGGGCCUUGCGCUAUCAGAUGAGCCUAGGUCGGAUUAGCUAGUUGGUGAGGUAAUGGCUCACCAAGGCGACGAUCCGUAACUGGUCUGAGAGGAUGAUCAGUCACACUGGAACUGAGACACGGUCCAGACUCCUACGGGAGGCAGCAGUGGGGAAUAUUGGACAAUGGGCGAAAGCCUGAUCCAGCCAUGCCGCGUGUGUGAAGAAGGUCUUCGGAUUGUAAAGCACUUUAAGUUGGGAGGAAGGGCUGUAGGCUAAUAUCCUGCGGUUUUGACGUUACCAACAGAAUAAGCACCGGCUAACUUCGUGCCAGCAGCCGCGGUAAUAC